AGAUAAAGGCAAACUUAUUGAAAAGUAAGGACGCAAAGCUACGGACCUAAAGCUCAUUGCUAUGGUGGCCGAGUUGCCAA
rnacentral:ncRNA from 1 species